rnacentral:rRNA from 1 species
AGUGAACGCUGGCGGUAGGCCUAACACAUGCAAGUCGAACGGCAGCACAGUAAGAGCUUGCUCUUACGGGUGGCGAGUGGCGGACGGGUGAGGAAUACAUCGGAAUCUACUUUUUCGUGGGGGAUAACGUAGGGAAACUUACGCUAAUACCGCAUACGACCUACGGGUGAAAGCAGGGGAUCUUCGGACCUUGCGCGAUUGAAUGAGCCGAUGUCGGAUUAGCUAGUUGGCGGGGUAAAGGCCCACCAAGGCGACGAUCCGUAGCUGGUCUGAGAGGAUGAUCAGCCACACUGGAACUGAGACACGGUCCAGACUCCUGGGGGAGGCAGCAGUGGAGAAUAUUGGACAAGGGGCGAAAGCCUGACACAGCCAUACCGCGUGGGUGAAGAAGGCCUUGGGGUUGUAAAGCCCUUUUGUUGGGAAAAAAAAGCAGCAGGUUAAUACCCCGCUGUUCUGGCGGUACCCAAAGAAUAAGCACCGGCAAACUUCG